AUGUCCGAUGACGGCACCAACCCCCUCGCUGCUCUCUGGGCGCAGGCCACGGCCAUCCAAAGCGUCAAGUCUCUGAUCCCCGUCACGCUUGAUCUCAAGGCCUCCAACUUCACCAAGUGGCGCAACUUCCUCACCGUCGCCGUGACCAAGUACGCCCUUGCCGAUCACCUCGUCACGGUGGCCCCUCCGGUCGAUGCAGAAUGGCUGCGGCUGGACUCCACCGUCCUCUCUUGGUUGUACGGGUCUAUCGCCGCCGACAUCCAAGACAUGGUCAUGGAGGAGACGACCACGGCCUAUGCUGUCCUGACGAGCAUCACCGCCCUCUUCCGCGACAACCAGCAGGCGCGUGCUGGCUACCUCGGUCAGAAAUUCCGCAACAUCGAGCAAGGCGACAAGACCAUCACCGCCUACUGCCUCGAGCAGAAGACAACCGCGGAUGCUCUCGCGGACGUGGGUGCCGCGGUCAGCGAUGACGCACUCGUCUGGAACACCAUCAAGGGACUUGACGAGAAGUACGAGGGCGUGGCUUCCCUCGUGCCACUCCUGACGCCGCUCCCUACCUUCCUUCAGUUCAGGAACAUGCUCCUUCUCCAGGAGCUCAAGCCGUCCAACGCGCGCUCGUCCUCCCCAACAGCUUUCUACUCUGCUCCAUCAACUGGAGGUCACCAUCGCGACGCCCCUGCCCCUCCCGUGCAGUACACUCAGGCCGGUAACUCCGGCUAUGGCGCUCCACCGACCCACCCCCACGUCACCGGCAAGUACAAGGGCAAGAAGAAGAAGAACGGUGGCGGCGGUGCCCCUCCUUUCCCGAGCCCGCAGAACCCCUGGACCGGGGCCAUCCACAUGUACCCGAUGGUCGGCGGUGGAUACGGCGCGACCACCUAA
rnacentral:rRNA from 1 species